rnacentral:rRNA from 1 species
UACGAAGGGGGCUAGCGUUGCUCGGAAUCACUGGGCGUAAAGCGCACGUAGGCGGCUUUCUAAGUCAGGGGUGAAAUCCUGGAGCUCAACUCCAGAACUGCCUUUGAUACUGGGAAGCUCGAGUCCGGAAGAGGUGAGUGGAACUCCGAGUGUAGAGGUGAAAUUCGUAGAUAUUCGGAAGAACACCAGUGGCGAAGGCGGCUACAUGUCGGU